CUACCCUCAUUCCUGUGCCUGUCACAGGAAUCCAGCCAGCCCAAGUCCUUGGGCUGGAAAGGCUUUUCCGCACCGCAGACGCGGCGCUGCUGGAUCUCUGUGACAAGCACAGAGAUGAGGGCGA
rnacentral:sRNA from 1 species